rnacentral:lncRNA from 1 species
UUUGGGGACACGUGGCCUUUGCGUGUCUCAGCUCGGAGGUGCUGUCUCUCCUGCGUUGGACUCUGGCUGCUCCAGAUCGAGUAGAAGUGGGGCUUAUGGGUCCCAUGCUUCUGCUUCUAAUGGGGACGCGGAGCCUCGGCAGUGCAGAGUCCCGCAAUCUCAUGAUGGGCUGGGGCCGGAGGCUGAGGUCACCGAGGGGCUGCGAAGCACGGUGGACGGCCACAAGGAGUCCGUGGGACCUCGUGGGCUGAACCAGACGGAGACGAGCACAGAGUCAAUCUCAGCACCGAGGAGGGGGCGCGAGGCCCCCGGGGGGACUUUGUCAGGGGUGAGCAGACCCAGAGCUGAACUUGGGAGGGGACGGACGCCCACGGGAAACUGUGACACGGUCCCGUUCCGUGCUGAGAACUGUGAAUCCCACCGCACCUGUGCUGGGGCUUCUCGCGGACGAGCCUGGGGGCUGGUCUGUUGGUGGGGAGGGGAGGGUUCGAAGGGCCGGUGCGACUCGACGCCGGGUGCGGACGACCCCCAGGUCACCGUGACGCGGGCUCCAGCCCGCCCACGCGUCUCAUUCUCCCCCGAGGCCCGUGAGGUGGGGGUAACGGCCGCCAGGCUUUCCCACAGCAGCUGGUAGGGGCCACGGUGGUGCAGACGACCCCCCAGAGGGAAGUGUGCAUCCCAGAACCUUCCAGAAGCCGAGGCUGGCUGCUCCGAGAGCCCUCCCUGCCUCGCCGCAGGAGUUCAGAGGUUCUGCGGCCACACAAAACCGGCGUUGCUUUUAGCCGGGCGAACCUCUGACGGUGUCCCGCGCGUCCUUCCGUUAUCCCUCAGGUGCAAG